CGGUGAUGCCGGAUGGCCUCUCUCCGCUCCUCGCUGUUCUCUACGCCAUGGAGAUGGGGCUCGUGCGAGCGAUUGUUUCUGACGUGGACAGGGGUGCUGUUGCUUUGAGAAUUGAGAUGCGUGAAGUCCGGAAAACCGAGCCCGAGCCCGAGCCCGAGCCCGAUCUCAAUCCCAAUACCAAGCUGACGAAACCCUUUUAUACCAGCCGCAGCCGCCGCAAGCUUCCACCACAAACCCUCCUGCGAGAAGAGAGCUAGAAAAAAAUCCAAUCGAUCCGGGAUGGCUUCCCUUGCAUCUGUUGCUCGGAUCGCCGAGUAUUGCGCGGUUGGCUGCGCCAUUGUUGCGGUCGCUGGCAAUUCGACCCUGUCAAUCCGACUAGCCAUCACCGUGUUCUACCCGACGCUCAUCCUGUACCGGGCGCUGAAUCGCGUAGCCAUCUCUUUCGGGUUCCCGAGUGCGUUGGCCGCCCCGUGGAUCGCGGUCAGAUCACUCUACCUGUCGACGUCGGGCCUGGUAAAGCACUACCUCACCAGCCGGCCACACAAGAUGGGGACGUAAGGGUUCUUAAAGCAGUGCUAAAUUGUUGAUUGGUGAGGGCACUGGUUUUCACGAGGGAACUCAAUCAUUAUACAUCAUCAAGUAGUUUUGGGCAAUAUAAGUGUAGUAAUAUUAUUGGAGCAAUAUAAGUGCAGUAAUAUUUGGGGAAUGAUGUAGUUUAUUUCUAUAUAUCGUUAUUACUCUUUUUAAGAUCUUGGCUCGUUUUAGCCAGACAUAUAUGUGAACCUAUGUGUUAACUGCAUUAUUAUGGAUUACUACUGAGUAAGCCAUCAAUCAAUAUAGUAAUGGUUGGAUUAA